GCUUAACCGACUGCGCCACCCAGGCGCCCCUGAAAGCAUAUAGAUUUUGUUGCUUAUAACAAUGUGGAGAAAACUUGGAGAAAAACAGUCUUUAAUGACAGAGAAGCUUUAAGUCGGUUUACAGAAAGCAGCAGAGAAAAGGGGCAGAGUCCAUUGGGAGCGGUUUCUAACUCCCAAGGCCCCAUCACUCUUCUCCAGCUCGGCUAAUUCGUGAGAUUCCCCUGCAUCCUUCCUAAAUCCCCUCCUCUGAUUUAAACUGAUUGAAUUGUUUCCGACUCUUGCUAAGUUGGACAUCCUAAAAUCAACAACGGAGUGGAGGGCUUUGGUGGCUUCUUGGUGUAUGCAAACAACAGAAAUGUCGUUAGAGCUUGUGAAUUCCAAACAGGAAUGGAGAAUGCUGAUGCCUCAUGGCCUUCGUGGAAAGUAGUUUGUUCCUGUGUCACUCCAAAAUGCUAUUUUUGGACUGAUUUGUCCCUUUCCUAUUGUAGAGAGGGCACUCCAAUGGCCUAUUCCACCCCAAUCCCAUCUUCUCCCCCUUCUAGGCCUCUGUUCACCAGGGGACAGAACAACAGGACAUAGGAGUCAGGGCAGAGAGAAGAGAUUUUGUGUGGCUAUGACGGCAAACUUCAUGACAUGAUGGCUCAGAGGAACACGUGCCUUUGACUCAAAAGACUCCCCAUGCAUAGGAGACGCUCCCACCUUUCUUUCCUUAAAGAGACUGAAAAUGAGUAAAUUCACCACGAACCAUGAAGCAGUUGGGGCUCAGUAGCUGCUGUGAAGUGACGACUCAUUUAAUAAAGGAACAUGCUGCAGGCAGGCUCUUUGCUACCUCUUAAGGGCGGACCCUGAAGCAAGGAUUUGCGUGCAAGUACAUUAUGGCGGAGAUGGUUCCUGGAAAGGACUAUAGGAGAGUGAGGGAGUGAGAUGGGAGGCGGAAGGCAGCCAGCAAGUGUGCUUUAUCAAGCAAGUUACCCGAAUGUGUAAAGGGAGCUAGACCUUCUUCAGGAACAGUGGAGGCCAGUGCAGAACAUGUACCUUCUACAGAAGCUCCCCAAGAGGCAAGGCUGCUGGGGCAUUUAUACACCAACUCCUGUCAGUCACUGCUUGAGGGCGCCGCUGGUGGCAGCGGCGGGUGUUACUGAUCCUGCAGAGCAAGCUGCGGCAGGCAGAGGAAGGAAGCCUCGAGGCACAGAGACGUCGGUUGGCCGGUUGGCCGCUGCAGCUGGGCGGCUGCCCCGAAACGACGGGGGCAGGCGGAGGGAAAUGGGUGUGGCUUGCGGUGGUGCGCGAGCGCACUUGUUACACACCUUUGCCUGUCUGCACGCCUGGGGGAGGUGCCGCCUCCCUAAGAGAGGUCUUCGGUGGCAGUGACGUGUUGGGAGCAGCUUCAGAGUGACUUGGGAUUUGAGAUCAGUGGCAGAAACGCCUGAAUUCUUCGUACAAUGAUUGCUUAAAGCCCGUCUCUUCUGUUUGACUCCACCAGAAUUGAGGAAGCCCAAACAACCUGUGACAAGCAAGGUGCAAGUGGAAAGGAGAUGGGCUCCCAGCCCUCAGCCUUAGCCGAGCUCCCAGCUGACAGCAGGGACUUGCCAGCUCUAAGGGAGCCACACUGAAUAUACUCUCUGCAGCUGCGGGCAGGCCAUCCCAGCUGACACACCAUGGCACAAAGAUAAACCACCCUUGCUGAUCCCUACCUACAGUGCAGGAUGCCACAUUUCAAACAGGAGGGGGCCGAGAGAAAAUCUGAAGAUUUGUCAGCUGCUUCUAGCGGUUGUUAUAGCGGAACUGUUGAUACCUUUACCUCUGGUGUGUGUAAGAAGAAAAUGUCUGUUCUGGAAGGCUCACGGAGUCUCUUUAUGCUUAAAUUGAGCAAUGCUGGAGAGCAAGACUCUUCCUGAUCAACAUGGGUCCACCAGAGGCACAUUGGAAAUGUGAUAGAAAACGGCUGCCAAUUCAAAAGCAGGAAAAGAGCAAACCCACAUAUACAGCAAGAGAGCUGUGAGCUGGACUGGCUCCCAGCAGAAGUGAGACUGGGAAUUUUGGAUUCAGAUUGGUUGCCUCUUCUCUCCUCUGUGAUGUGGCAGAAGAUGUCAGCACCUAUGCUUGAACUUAGUCAUUACUGCUUACUUCCCAAACUUUUCCCAGCUCUCUGACUCCCUCGAGUCUUAGCUUCCUCAUUUGUGAGUUAGAGAUGAUGGGCUCUUCAUGCUGAGGCUAUUGUGAGGGCUCAAUGGAAGCACCAAGCACGGAUCCUGGGAUACAGUAGGUGCUUCAUAAAUGCAAACCAACAUGAACAUGAACUAUAUUCCUGCCUGUCCCCUCGUGAUGCCUGGUCUCUGGCAGCUGGUCUCUGGUGCUCUGGGCUCACUGAGACCUGGCAGUUUUCCCAGAGUGGCACUAAAUCCAUGUCUGUCUUUGGUGUCUUGGUACUUAAGUGUCCUGUGCCACCAGUUCCCUUCCAGCCACAGAUCCUGGCUCACUCUGACAGAACCUUGUUUCUGCUAGUAGUCAUGCUUAAAAAGGGGCUAAUGACCACUCAAGUGUGAGAUGAUGAUUUAUGAAUGCCAUCCCUCCAGACAGUGUUUGCAAUAUUGCAAAUUUUGCUUUUAUUUUAUUUGGCACUAGAAAGGCAUCAAGAAUAAAAGGAAACUCUC